CCUGCUAGUCAUGUCAUCAUUUUAAAAAACAGAACUUGCAUAUGUCCCUAUUUUCGUUCCACGCCCUCUAAUUUGUUUGUUUGUUUAUUUUUGGUUCUGGCUGCAAGUUAGAAUCUUUUGUGCAUUAUCACACAAUAGAGCAGAAUACUUCCAUCUCUACAUCCACAUUCAGUGCUUCAGUCAUUGGAGGAUGAGCUAGAUUCAACUUUAUGGGUGCAGAGAGGUGCAGUUUGAAUACCUGUGUGUCAGCAGGGACAGUUUUACUUCAGAAAAGAGGAGAUGAAUCCUACAGGCAAGAAGGCAAUGGUACUGCUGCUGUCCUCUUCCCAGGCUUCUUAUAUCUAGUGUAGCCUGGCACGGAAUUAGCACAUCUCUUAAUUUGCCUAACACUGCCCCCUCCUGGCCUGACCUAGCCCUAUCAACUUUUGGCAUGUCCAAAUUGCCUCCCUGCUGCUUGGUGGAUUAGGACUGUGGGCAACUUGUUAUAUUAAGCCUCUGUUUCUGCCUUCUAUUGGUGAGGAAUCCUGGCUACACCACUGUAACUCCUGGAUUGAAUCUGUCUGUCUCUUGGAGAUGCAGAGUCACUUUGACAGCUAGAUCAGUGCACCUUAAUUGAGUGACCUCAACUGGCUCCCUUUGUUCUCAGACAAAUCAAAUCAAUUUCAGAAUGAGCAUCAAUGAAUGCUACUUAAAAUGCAUUUCAAAAUCAAACGGAUGACAUAAAUGGAAUCAUUUAAAAAUAAGAAGCAUUCAAAGUCUGUCUUUGAAGAAGGGAAAGAAAAAUGAAAGGGUUGGAGGCACUUCUCUUCAAUGGAUAGAUAAGAAAUCCAUCAAUGACUAAUAGACACCCAGAAACUAGAGGGAUGAAUAUCAGAAUCUUGAUAGAUGUCAUUCCUUUCAAGGCACAAUAUUCAUCUAGUUUUGGUCCCAAAAUUACUUAUA